rnacentral:rRNA from 1 species
UUUCGUGGUCUGAGUCGGCCGCGCCCAAGUCCAUUGGAACAUGGCGCCUGGGAGGGUGAGAGCCCCGUAUGGCGCACGCCGACUCUUUGUA